ACCUCUGGAGAAUCCCGGCCCGACCGGGUGCCGAAGGGGCAAGGCGCGCAGGGCAAGCCCGCGCCGCCGAAACUCUCAGGCAAAAGGACAGAGAGC
rnacentral:ncRNA from 1 species